rnacentral:rRNA from 1 species
CGAACGCUGGCGGCGUGCCUAACACAUGCAAGUCAAGGAGAAUUCCCGACUUGUCGGGAUAGUAAACUGGCGAACGGGUGAGUAACACGUAGGUAAUCUACCCUCGGGAUCGGGAUAACCUCGCGAAAGUGGGGAUAAUACCGAAUAAAGUCUCGGUAUAAUUUGUCGAGAUGAAAGAUGGGGAUCUUCGGACCUAUUACCUGAGGAUGAGCCUGCGCCUGAUUAGCUAGUUGGUAGGGUAAAUGCCUACCAAGGCAACGAUCAGUAGCUGGUCUGAGAGGAUGAUCAGCCACAUUGGGACUGAGAUACGGCCCAGACUCCUACGGGAGGCAGCAGUGAGGAAUUUUGCGCAAUGGGCGAAAGCCUGACGCAGCAACGCCGCGUGACUGAUUAAGCUCUGAGGAGUGUAAAAGUCUGUCGUAGAGGAAGAAACUAUCCGAUAAGAAUAUUGUCGGAUACUGACGGUACUCUAUGAGAAAGCUCCGGCUAACUCCGUG